ACACCGGCGGACCGGCCAAGCCGGAUCCGCGGUGUUCCUGGCAUCGGGAGCACGUGGUCAACGACGGGCUCGAUGUUCAAGCCAUUGCCGCCGUC
rnacentral:tRNA from 1 species